UACAGAGGGUGCGAGCGUUAAUCGGAAUUACUGGGCGUAAAGCGUGCGUAGACGGUUAUUUAAGUCGGGUGUGAAAGCCCCGGGCUUAACCCGGGAAUGGCGUCCGAAACUAUGGAGCUGGAGUGUGGCAGAGGGAGGUGGAAUUCCACGUGUAGCGGUGAAAUGCGUAGAGAUGUGGAGGAACACCGAUGGCGAAGGCAGCCUCCUGGGCCAACACUGACGCUCAUGCACGAAAGCGUGGGGAGCAAACAGG
rnacentral:rRNA from 1 species